ACACCUUUUUUAUUGAAAGAUAAUUAUAAAAUCGAAGUAGAAAUAUUUCAAUUAAAAAUCAAGGAUUUUGAUGCCAAAUUGCUCCUCCACGAAGUAAUGAAGGUCGAUGGUAUCUCACACGAUUAAACUUUUCCCAUGGACCAUCUAGUUUGUAAGAAGCGUGUAACAUUUAAAAAAUCAUUGAAUACAUUAUUCCUUAAAACAUAAAUGCUUUUGAAUGGUACGAGGCGAAAUUCAAUGCAUAUUACUUCAUUUAGGUUUUCUAAGUUGUUAGGAGAAUGUUUAUCAACCUAAGUUUUGAGAAAAAAAAAUUAGCUGCUCAACCACACAUUCUCUAAAUUACAUUACUGAUGUAAUACAUGACUUGCAAUAUGCCAUUAAUAGCAUUAAAAUACUCAAAUUACUUAAAUUUAUGAAUGUGAAAAGUGGUAGAAGUAUACAGCUACUACAAGGAGCCAAUGCUCUCAGAGUACACCAAGAUCCAAAGAUUGCAAUAGGCAGGACAUUUGGACAAGGUGAAGGAGGGAAGAAUACCGAAGCAACUGCUUCACAGGAUAUACUUGGGUUCAGAAAUGAAUGAGGGAGGCUAAGGAUCGAUAGAGUUAUUGAAGGUAGAGAGAGAAGAUAUCUAAAAUUCUUGUUGUUCAGUGUUUCAAAUGCCAAAACCAAUAAUUCUUGGUAUAUCAAGAGUCAGAAGACCCCAAAAACUCCUAUUUUGGAUAAAUCAAAUUUUGAAAAGUGUCAAAAACUCUUAUUAUUGAUACAUGAAGUUUCAAAGGAUGCAAUAACUCUCGGUUUUGACAUGUCAAAAGUUCAGGGAUGUCUAAAAUUCUCCUUCUCAGUAUAUGAAAUGUCAAAAACACAACUUCGUGAUAUUUUAUUGAUACAAAGUGCUAGUAACACCUGAGUAUGAUUUGUUAUUUCUCAAAAAUAAUAGUUAUUGGUUAUUCAACUGUUAGUAGACUUCGGAAGUUCUUGUUCCUGAUGCAUCAAGUGUCGAAGAAUGUCAAAAACUUUUAUUAUUGAUAUGUGAAGUGUUAAAUAAUGCAAUAACUCCCGUUUUUGAUAUGUCAAGCUUUGAGAGACGUCUAAAAUUCUUGUUCUCAGUCAUAUCAAGUGUCAGAAGACCUCAAAAGCUCUUGUUCCGGAUAAAUAAAAUUUUGCAGAAUGUCAACAACUCUUAUUACCGGUAUGGAAAAUAUCAAAGGUUGCAAUAACUCUCAUUCUUGAUGUGUCAAUCGUCGAGGAAUGUCUAAACUACUUAUUCUCAAUAUAUCAAAUGUCAAAAACAGUAAUUCUUGAUGUAUCAAGUAUCAGAAUACAUCAAAAGCUGUUGUUUUGGAUAUAUCAGGUGUUGAAGAACGUCAACGCAACCACAAUGUGACGUAACUCCAAACCUUUGAGAAUUUAACGCAACCCUAAAAAGGAAUCGAGCUAAUUGCAAAGCAAAAUAACCUAACCUCAAAGAAAAGCAAACGAAUUCAACUCUAAACCAAUACAAACUAACUCCAAAACAAGUGAAUCUAACUCAAAAACAACUGAAUCCAACUCCAAACCAACUUCAAAUGAUCCGAAACGCAAAGUAAUACUCCGGAUCUUAUUACAAAAAUCUUUUGUUGAUGCAUUUGCAACCUUUAUACCAUCACGCCUUUUCUAUACAUAAACAAUUCAAUCUGGCACACGGUGAUGAAGUUCUUGAUUAAAAUUAGAGAAACAUCGAUGGAAUUUUCGAUGAAUAUUCAAUCUUCCGGUUCAGUCAAGCAAGUCGACGUUAAAGCUGCAUUAUGAAUAAUUCAAAAUUCCCCUAUAAUAGCAUAAACAGACCGCUCGGACACUCGAACAAUACCUAGAAUUCUGCGAUAUUGAGCUCUCGAGUUAUAAAGGAGUUAAAUGUACAUCCGUUGAAUACUAAAUAAAUAUUUAAAUUGUGUGUUAUGAACGAGAUCUAUUUGCAUACGCUUCAACUGUACAUUUCUUUGUUAUUUAACAAUAAUAUCAUAAAAAAUCAA